GUGCCAGCCGCCGCGGUAAUACGUAGGUGGCAAGCGUUGUCCGGAUUUAUUGGGUUUAAAGGGUGCGUAGGCGGUUCAUUAAGUCAGUGGUGAAAUACGGCAGCUCAACUGUCGAGGUGCCAUUGAUACUGGUGAACUUGAGUACUGAUGAGGUAGGCGGAAUGGACGGUGUAGCGGUGAAAUGCUUAGAGAUCGUCCAGAACACCGAUAGCGAAGGCAGCUUACUAAAGAGUAACUGACGCUGAGGCACGAAAGUGUGGGGAUCAAACAGGAUUAGAUACCCUCGUAGUCC
rnacentral:rRNA from 1 species